AAAUAAAGAACUAAAUAGAAAAAGAACUGUUAGUCUACUGGCAAUUAAACCCAGCCGCAUGGCUGUUGGGUUUACCAAGAGGAAUAGAUUGGAAACCUAAAACAUUUAUCAACUAACUAACCUAGGAAAAUUAAAGGAAUCUUUUUUCAUAAUGUUUUUUUUUAAAACUAAUUACUCUAUUUAAUAAUAAAUUGAAAAAAAGAAAAUAAAGAAAGAAAAACAAAAAAAUGGAAUCGUCUCUCUCAAUCCCUCUUCUCU
rnacentral:lncRNA from 1 species